rnacentral:sRNA from 1 species
AAGAUGGCGGCGCCCUGUGAGGGACGAGCGUUUGCCGUAGGGGUUGAAAAGAAUUGGGGUGCAGUAGUUCGCUCCCCAGAAGGGACCCCCCAGAAAAUCCGGCAGCUGAUAGAUGAGGGGAUUGCCCCGGAAGAGGGAGGCGUGGACGCGAAGGACACGUCUGCUACAUCCCAGUCAGUUAAUGGAUCACCCCAAGUGGAACAACCUUCAUUGGAAUCUACAAGCAAAGAAGCCUUCUUUAGCAGAGUGGAAACAUUUUCUUCUUUGAAAUGGGCAGGUAAGCCCUCCGAGCUGUCUCCACUCGUCUGUGCAAAAUAUGGCUGGGUCACAGUGGAAUGUGAUAUGCUCAAGUGCUCUAGCUGUCAAGCUUUUCUCUGUGCCAGUUUACAACCAGCUUUUGACUUUGACAGAUAUAAGCAACGAUGUGCUGAGCUGAAGAAAGCCUUGUGUACUGCCCAUGAGAAGUUCUGUUUCUGGCCAGACAGCCCAUCCCCAGAUGGAGUUUCACUCUUGUUGCCCAGGCUGGAGUACAGUGGUGCGAUCUGGGCUCACUGCAACCUUCA